UACAGAGGUCUCAAGCGUUGUUCGGAUUCAUUGGGCGUAAAGGGUGCGUAGGCGGCGCGGUAAGUCGGGUGUGAAAUCUCGGAGCUUAACUCCGAAACUGCAUUCGAUACUGCCGUGCUUGAGGACUGGAGAGGAGACUGGAAUUUACGGUGUAGCGGUGAAAUGCGUAGAUAUCGUAAGGAAGACCAGUGGCGAAGGCGGGUCUCUGGACAGUUCCUGACGCUGAAGCACGAAGGCCAGGGGGGCAAACGGG
rnacentral:rRNA from 1 species